AGAGUUUGAUCCUGGCUCAGAAUGAACGCUGGCGGCAUGCCUAACACAUGCAAGUCGAACGAGAAAAUCCUGCUUCGGCGGGAUGAGUAAAGUGGCGCACGGGUGAGUAACGCGUGGGUAACCUGCCCUUGAAUCUGGGAUAACUUCGCGAAAGCGAAGCUAAUACCGGAUACUGUCCCCAAGGCUGUGGUCCUGGGGAUGAAAGGUGACCUCUUCAUGAAAGUUGCCGUUCAGGGAGGGGCUCGCGUACCAUUAGCUUGUUGGCGGGGUAAUAGCCCACCAAGGCGACGAUGGUUAGCUGGUCUGAGAGGAUGAUCAGCCACACUGGAACUGAAACACGGUCCAGACUCCUACGGGAGGCAGCAGUGAGGAAUUUUGCGCAAUGGGGGAAACCCUGACGCAGCAACGCCGCGUGAGUGAAGAAGGCUUUCGGGUCGUAAAGCUCUGUCAAAUGGGAAAAAAAUCUAUCGAUGAAUAGUCGAUAGGCUUGAUGGUACCAUUAGAGGAAGCACCGGCUAACUCCGUGCCAGCAGCCGCGGUAAUACGGAGGGUGCGAGCGUUGUUCGGAAUUAUUGGGCGUAAAGAGCGUGUAGGCGGUUUGGUAAGUCGGAUGUGAAAGCCCUGGGCUCAACCCAGGAAGUGCGUUUGAUACUGCCAUUCUUGAGUAUGGGAGAGGAGAGUGGAAUUCCCAGUGUAGAGGUGAAAUUCGUAGAUAUUGGGAGGAACACCCGUGGCGAAGGCGACUCUCUGGACCAAUACUGACGCUGAGACGCGAAAGCGUGGGGGAGCAAACAGGAUUAGAUACCCUGGUAGUCCCACGCCGUAAACGAUAGAACUAGGUGUAGCGGGUAUUUGACCCUGCUGUGCCGGAGCUAACGCAUUAAGUUCUCCGCCUGGGGAGUACGGCCGCA
rnacentral:rRNA from 1 species